rnacentral:lncRNA from 1 species
AGUCAAUCAAUGGAGAUUAAAAUGAAUCAUGAAUUCUUUUUUUUUUUUCCUAUGCUGGUACAACAAAAUUUCCAUUGAUCAUUUUUUGAAAUGAGUAAUUUUUGGUUUAGGAUUUUUGACAUCUUGAUGGAUUUCAAGAGAGCUACUAACUUAUGCUGAUGUGAUUUCUCAUUUGUCUCUUUUAAAGUACAUGAGCUAAGUGCUUUUAUUUUUAAGUUCAUAUGCACCUUGGCUUUGGACAUUUUACCUUUGGCUUGGACUAUUAGUGCUUCCCACACUUCCUUGACCAUCUCAGUCCCCGUGGGCACAGUGAGAACUAAGAAAAAUGAAUAAAGAUGCCUUAAAUAAGACAAUGAUUUAUUUCUUUUCAUGGAAACGGACUCCAGUAAUACAUUGUGCAGAGCAUGUGAUGUCUCUGUGUUCUUAAUGGCUUUGUGUUUUUUCAUGCUAUUAUUUCCACAUUUACCUUUCUGUUCUAGUUGGAAGCUAGGACUUCAUAAAGGAGAGCAGAGGAGGAAAAAAGUGGGUACUUCUUUCCUUGAUAAUAAAACCUAUGCUUCCAAAUUUAUCUUACAAGCAGUGGUAGGCCAAAUGGCUUACUGGAGCAGCAGGGAAAGAUAGACAGACUUUAGCCGAGAACCUUGCUUUCUGAUAAGUAGUAGGACUUUGUCACAGGAGAGAUUAUAGGUGUUAGGUUGGGGUAUUGUACAGCUUUGCCUUAGAGAUGUGUUGAAACUGAUACCAUAGUUCUCUAGACACAGAUAAUUAGUAACAUCUACAGAAAGGUUUGAAAUAGCAAAUUUUGAUGUUUUGCUCAAAAGAUUCUGUUAUAUGUUAACCUUUUCUGUUUGAAUGUGUUUGCUUCCCAAAUCAAAUAUUUCUUUACUUUCUUCACAUAAGAUGCCUAAUAAAAGUAGAUUGGGCAGGUGUGGGCAGCAAGAUAACCCAGAGGUUAGAGGAUCUUAUUGCCAAACCUAAUGACCUUAGUUCUUUUCUUGAGAUCUACAUGGCAGGAGCAAACCAACUCACAUAAGGUAUCUUUCCUUCAUCCCUAAGCUGCAGUAUACACAAAAACGUUGUUAAAGGCACAGGGAGAUAGAAGGUGUUGAGAAAUACUUUAUUGCAAUUUCAAAAUUCAUUCUAACAAAAAGCAUAUAUUCAAAUCUGUAAAGGGAAGAGCACACAGGUCAAAGUCAGGAGGAACCCAGCCAGGUUCCCUGAGUUCUCUUUACUGAAUGGAGUUAAACAGGGCACACAGCAUCUAAGAGGCAUAGCCAAAAAUCAAUGAGGCCUCAUCAAGUCUUGGUGUUAUAAGAGAAGACAGUGCUGUGUGAUUGACUUUAGAUAUUUAAAUUGUAUCUUGCCAGACAAAAAGAGCACACAGGAGUCACCAAUCACACCAUUUGUGUGAACCACUGACAAUAAUACUGUGUGGUCCAAAGUUUUAGAUGU